rnacentral:tRNA from 1 species
GGAGGGGUGGCAGAGUGGUUGAAUGCGGCGGUCUCGAAAACCGUUACGGGCCUUCUCGGUCCGUCGAGGGUUCGAAUCCCUCCCCCUCCG